UUUUGCAGCCAGUUAAGAAUCUUCCACAAUGGACGAAAGUCUGAUGGAGCAACGCCGCGUGAGUGAUGAAGGUUUUCGGAUCGUAAAACUCUGUUGUUAAAGAAGAACAAGUGUUAGAGUAACUGUUAACACUUUGACGGUAUUUAACCAGAAAGCCACGGCUAACUACGUGCCAGCAGCCGCGGUAAUACGUAGGUGGCAAGCGUUGUCCGGAUUUAUUGGGCGUAAAGCGAGCGCAGGCGGUUUUGUAAGUCUGCUGUGAAAGCCCUCAGCUCAACUGAGGAAGUGCAGUGGAAACUACAAAACUUGAGUACAGAAGAGGAAAGUGGAACUCCAUGUGUAGCGGUGAAAUGCGUAGAUAUAUGGAAGAACACCAGUGGCGAAGGCGGCUUUCUGGUCUGUUACUGACGCUGAGGCUCGAAAGCAUGGGUAGCGAACAGGAUUAGAUACCCUGGUAGUCCAUGCCGUAAACGAUGAAUACUAGGUGUUGGAGGGUUUCCGCCCUUCAGUGCCGCAGCUAACGCAUUAAGUAUUCCGCCUGGGGAGUACGACCGCAAGGUUGAAACUCAAAGGAAUUGACGGGGGCCCGCACAAGUGGUGGAGCAUGUGGUUUAAUUCGAUGCUACGCGAAGAACCUUACCAGCUCUUGACAUCUUCUGCCAACCCAAGAGAUUGGGCGUUCCCUUUCGGGGGACCAAGGGA
rnacentral:rRNA from 2 species